UAGGGAAUCCUCCACAAUGGGCGCAAGCCUGAUGGAGCAACACCGCGUGAGUGAAGAAGGGUUUCGGCUCGUAAAGCUCUGUUGUUAAAGGAGAACACGUAUGAGAGUAACUGUUCAUACGUUGACGGUAUUUAACCAGAAAGUCACGGCUAACUACGUGCCAGCAGCCGCGGUAAUACGUAGGUGGCAAGCGUUAUCCGGAUUUAUUGGGCGUAAAGAGAGUGCGGGCGGUUUUCUAAGUCUGAUGUGAAAGCCUUCGGCUUAACCGGAGAAGUGCAUCGGAAACUGGAUAACUUGAGUGCAGAAGAGGGUAGUGGAACUCCAUGUGUAGCGGCGGAAUGCGUAGAUAUAUGGAAGAACACCAGUGGCGAAGGCGGCUACCUGGUCUGCAACUGACGCUGAGACUCGAAAGCAUGGGUAGCGAACAGGAUUAGAUACCCUGGUAGUCCAUGCCGUAAACGAUGAGUGCUAGGUGUUGGAGGGUUUCCGCCCUUCAGUGCCGGAGCUAACGCAUUAAGCACUCCGCCUGGGGAGUACGACCGCAAGGUUG
rnacentral:rRNA from 1 species